rnacentral:lncRNA from 1 species
AGUCAAUGUAAAUUUAGAUCUAACACCUCCAUUUAAACAAAAUGAUUGCACUCACUGAAGAUAGUGAAUCCCUUGGACAGAGGAACAACACUCCCACUCCCACUAAUGAAGUAAAAUCACACCAUCCAGCUGACAAAGCAGUAACUGGGAGAUUAGCAUAUCUCACCUUGGUUGAGCAGCUUGCUGCACAUGGGUAGCAGCUACAUGAAUGGCCCUAGCUUCUGGUUCUCAGCGAGCGCUAGGCCAAGUACAGGCUGCACAAAACUAUUAAUUACACAACAAUCAAUUCAUCCAUCACACAAACCGAUCAAGGAAAAAAGUAUAUGGUAGAAAAAACAAUCUUGGCAUCAUGAAUUGCGUAAAAUAAGACAGCUAACCAUACAAUUAAGUGAGAGUCUACAUUUCGCUGACAAUUUAAUAGAGAAUUCACAUGAUUAUGUGCUCAUGUAUGACAAUCAUGUAUCACAAUAUUUCUUUUGGGUGCACAAUUUUAUCCAAGACGAAGAACCUGAAUACUUUUGAGUGCACAAUCAUUAUUUUGUUAGUGGAAGGAUGUGAUUUUACACUGAGGAUUCUCAAAAGAAUUAGAAAAUAAAAUUAGGCAAGUGACGGCUACUCUCAUGAUAAAUGGAUUAGAGCCAUAUCGCCGAGCUCAUUAUCCCAUGGGCCUUCUCCUCAAAUCUGAUGAGGCGUUGUGAGAGGAUAGGAGAAGGCAGUUUAUGCAGGUUCUAUAGACCGUCUUAAGUUAAAGCCUUCCACUUCUCUGGGUUAAAUGAGCCGCGUCACUCAUGGGCCAAGGUUAUCUACCAAUUUUCUUAAUUACCAAAAGACCAAACAUUUUAUCUCUAAUUUAAGUGAAGCCAGUAGAAAAGUAAUUAGAAGUAGAAAACAUAUUAUAUCUCUAAUCUCAAUGAAGUUGGUAGAAAAUAAAUAGAGGUAGAAAAAUCAAGAGAGAGGGCAUUCAAUAUAUAUCAUUUAGGGGGAGCAAGCCCAUACUAAUAAAUGAUAAAUGAUAACUUAUUUAAUUUUCAGCGUGUCUCAACAAUAGGUAGUCCAUAUCAAUGUACAACUUUCAGAGCAGGUUGGGUUUAUCCAAAGUUAUGAACCCAAGUGACACUGAACAUUAUGUGCAAAGUAUCUAACCAAAUCAGAAAAAAAAUCGAGAGUAAAUUAGUUACCUGAGCAGACAAGAAACCCCCAACCAGCCAAAGUCGUGACUGCUUGAAAGAAAUGUGAGGCAACAAUCCAUGCCCAAUCUACAUCGAUAAGUACCUGCAAAACAACGGACACUACCAAUAAGGUGAAGAGAAGGCAAAGAAUAGUGAAAAAAGGAAGAGAAAGAGGGAAACUAAAUCCAAGAAGAGAACGCCGAAGAAACUACCAAGAUAGGCAAAGGAAAAAAAAUCAAAAAGAGGCAGAAGCAAAGGGAAGAAACUAAAUAGCGGAAUAGAAGAUCAGAACAACAACAAAAUUUAAGCACAAUACUAUUCCGGCUAAGACCAAAUCGACAACAAAAAAGCACAAAAGGUUGUAUAGUAAUUCAGAAAAACAUGUGUAGCAGACACUAUUACACAACACAAAGGCAGACCCCUAAUAUAAAUUGGUCGAUGUAUAGACACGGGACUUAAAAAGAAACUGCAAAGAUGUAGGAUUCACGUGCAAACCCAAUAAAGGAAAACUGAGAACCACCACAAGAUUUUCUUUUCAUGUAUAUAUGCAAGGUUCACCCUAUCUAUGAAUUGCUUCUUCCGGCUAUCAAGUGUUUUCUCUCAGUAAACAAACACACUAGUGUUCUCUGAAUUAUAUUGUAUGACGAUAAUAAACAAAUGAACUGAAAAUAACAAUGUAAUGGGUAAACAAUGUUCACUUAGAGAUAACUUAAAGAAUACAGUUUACACAAACUUUUGCAGACUGAAGUAAAAAGGUCACACUACAUGAAGAUAGGAGCAAGGAAGUCCAUAAAUAUGUUCUACAAUAUGGCUUCCUUAGAUAUAUUAUACAAUAAAAGGCAUAAAACCCUGUCAUCCUGAAGUUCUUCAAUCUACAAUAUGGCUUCACUGCUAGAAUUUUCUUUCAUAAAUAAUGGGGUCAUGUCAAACAUUUGGUCAUGAAUAUAUUCUUGAAAUAUAUUCUUUACCAGGUUUUGAGUAUCUAAUAAUCACAAUCUAAAUGUGAGGUGUUGCAUGCAUUUUAUUUGCUUCAUAUGAACUAAAUUUCUCUAUAAAACACUCGCAUUUCAUACUAAUCUCCUACAUUGAAAGUGGAAGGUUUCAAUUCUCAUAAAAACACUUCAUUAUUAAUUUGAUGCUUCAAUUUUCUCUUCACUUUCUCACAUUAACAAAAUGCUGACUUGCAUGAGCUGACAUUACUGAAACCCUUAUACCUAUGGAAAUAAUGCCAAACGAAGCCGAGUAGGCAGCGACAAGGAGAAAUAGGGUAGCAGAGUACUCUGAAGCUGGUUGAAGUUGGUUGCCGUCUGCGCCACAGCUAUAUAUCUUCAAAACCAUUGCGGGGAAAAAUAAAAUUGGUGCACUAAUUAAAACAAGAAAUAAAUAAAGAUUCAUUUGAGAUCAGCGAUAUCAGACUGUAUAGAGAAGCUAACUUCUAGCAACUAGAAAUUCUCAGCAAGAUAGAUUAAGCAACUUUGCAAUAUCAGCAACCAACAUUGAUUGCAAAAUAGUUGGAUAAACCAGGUAAGGAGCCGAAUGCAAGCAAUUUUACUUGUGGCAGCAACAGAACUUUCAUCCUUUAGAAGCAAGUUUGAAGCCAUGAAACGGGAAGUCAUAUGAAAUCAAUCAAGUUUGCAAUGCCAGAAACUGAUGAUUAAAUGUAAAAUAGUUGGAUAAACCAAGAAAGAAGCUAGAAGAAGGCAAGCAAAUUUACUUGUGGCGACAAUAAAACUCCCAUCUUUUAGAAGCAGGUUUGAAGUAGCUAAGCAAGUGACUUAUAUAGGCGAACCAACGUCAAGGGUAAAUAUAGCAGCCAAACGCUAAUUCUGUUAUUGUGCAAAAGCCUAAAAAAGUAGUAUCCGUUCAGAUUGAUGAGAAGUAGUAACAUAUAUAGUUGCUUCCAAGUUAGCAUCUCUACGGACUUGCAAGCAACCUAUGAACACUUAAUCGACUUGUUUGUAGACUAGACUGCAUUUCUUUAAGUUGUAAAGAAACAACAUACAGUCAAUCAGCUAACAUGAACCUAGGAAAAACAAAAAAGAGGGAACUGAGAAAUCAAAAUCGAAGGAACAAAGAACCAGUAAGCAAACAUAGCAAGUCAAGACCUUUUUAGGCAAAUUAGAACCUUUUAGCAAGAAGAAACGAAAUAAGGAACAUAAGAUACACUUCCCAUAAAUAUUAGGACCUCUUCGGUUCCUUCUUUCUUGUUUUAUCGAAACAGAGUAUACUAGUUCAGAAAGGUAAGUUGGUAAGUAUAACAUAAUUAAAGCAAAAGGAUUCCAAAAUGUUAUUUGAUGCAUUAUUCAACACUGACAAAGUUUUACAUCUCAGUUUUGUUAAUUUUGGAAUAUAAAGGGAUUUGAACUCCCUAUAGUAUGAUAAUCAAGUUAACUGAUCUUAGAUCUUUUGCCUAUGAAUCGACUGCUCCAUUGGUUCCUCUCGAUUUAAAAUCAAACCGAAGGUGAGAUCUAAUUUUGUGUGCACCACAUCCAAAGAAUUGAUGUGGAUAUUCAUAAAGUAAAAACUAAGAGCCACUCUCUCCUCAUUGCUUAUAUCCUAAAAGUAAUUUCCUCAUUGGUAUUUACCAGAGAUGGUUAUACUUAUUUAAUAGAAAAUUGGCAGAAGAUCACAAGCAAUUUACAUUUAUGUGUCCAUGGUUAAUACCUAAAGUACUCUCUCCGUUUCUUUUUACUCCACAUAUAAGAUUUGGUAAAGUCAAAGUACACAAAGUGUGACCAAAUUUAUAUCAAAAAAUAAGAACAUAUAUAAUACUAAAACUAUAUAGUAUGAAAAUAUAUUUCAUGACACAUCUGGUAAUAUUGGUUUCAUAUUGUGAAUGUUGAUAUUUUUAAUAUAAAGUUAGUCAAACUUUACAAAACUUGACUUUGACCAAACUUUAUAUGCAGACUAAAACGAACGGAGGGAGUAAAUAUAUGCAACAAAGAAGGGAGUGCAUUAUCGAAAGAAAGGCCUUUCUAUUGAUGCAAAUUUUUUCACAAAUCCUAUGGAACCUCCGACGUCACAAGUUAUAGAAUAAAUGCCAACCAAAGGGCACCAUUCUUCAUCAGCUGUUGUAACUGAUGAAUGCUCGAUAGUCAUGGAAACCUCCUCGCCCAGUACAUACAAUUAUCCGGAGAAAGCCACAAAUACAAAUCAGAACAUAAUAGCUAAUGAAUAAUAUUACAAAUGGUGAAUAUCCUAAAUAAAUACAUGAAACAAAAAAGGGUGCAUUACCAGAAGAAAGGUCUUUCUAUUGAUGUACUUCUCUUCACAAAUUCUAUGGAACCUCCGACGUCGGAAGCUAUAUCAUAAAUGCCAACCAAUGGGCAUCAUUCUUCAUCAACUGUUGUAACCGAUCAAAACAAAAAGGCAUUGAGUAUUGAGGAAAGAACUAAGUACUUUUUCUUUCAGAACACCUGAACACAUUUUUUCACCUCACUAAUGCUUAUGCCCAUCAAAUUAACCUGCUGCUCUUACCAACCAUGUAUAUAUGGCAAGUCUCACAAUGGACCAAGAGUGGCCAAUGAUGUUUUUUUGUACCUAGCAAAUGUUGACCAGAUAUUAUGCUUAUCCUACCAAAUCAAGACCAAAUCACACAGUGGCCAUUGAUGGAGAGGCACACGAGAGAGAGAGAGAGAGAGAGAGAGAGAGAGAGAGGGAGAGAGGGAGGGAGAGAGAGAGAGAGAGAGAGGGGCACAUGCAUGAUGGGGAGGAAGAGGAGGACGAAGGGAGGAGGUGCUGGAGAAGAUGUAGCAGCGACAAUGGAGGAGAAGCUCACAUUAGGGUCGCGGGGCGGAGGCGCCGGAUGGCAUCGAUGUUGACUCGUUUUCCUUGCCACCAGUGGUGGAUCUCCUCCAUUCACCGCUACCAGCCGCCCCUCCACGACUUGAGCAAGGGUUACCAUGGCGGCAACCGAGCGAACGACAUACAACGGAUGGCGGACGUGAAGUGUGCGGUCAGAUCCGGAACAAACUGUAGUAGGACCACGAAAUCGGCCAAGCAGUGAGCGACGACCGUGAGAAGAGGAAGGACGAGCGAGGGGAAGCGCGGGACGGCGUACCUGAGGAGGGCUCGAUGUAGGAGGCGCCUUGGUUCGUCCUCUUCACCCUCUCGUGCGGUGUGGCGAUGGGAGCGGCGGCCAGCGAGGAAGAUGAGCCCAGCGGCUCUGCCCAACCUAGGCGACGCAAAGGAGAAGAGGCGAUGCGGGGAGGGUGGGCGACGGGAAGGGAGAGAAGAGGCGAGGCAGGGAGGGUAGGCGACGGGAAGGGAAGAGGUGGGAUGGGGAGGAGGACGACGCAACGACGACGCCAGGAUGCAGCGACGGCGAGGAGGGGGAAAGAGAGAGCGUCGACUUGGGUUUUCUCUCAUCCAAUCGGGC